ensembl:snRNA U2 U2 spliceosomal RNA
AUCGCUUCUCAGCCUUUUGGCUAAGAUCAAGUGUAGUUCCUGUUCUUCCGUAGCUAACUGAUACCUUUCACUAUCAAAUGGUUUAAUAACUAUAUACAUAUGCAUAAAUAAAUAUGCACAUAAUAAUUGUAAAUAUGUAGAACCUUCAUUCAAAUUAUAGCCAAU